UUUUUUGAUUUGUCAAUCCUUCUUAUUAUAGUUUUUAUGCCCCUGCCCUAGCAGAGUGGGCAUCAAGUUUUACCCUUGUCCAUCUGUACGUAACAUACGUCUGUACAUCCCAGAAUGGUUUCCGUUCUCUACCUUAAAUUUGCCUCAACCAAAUGUUAUGAAAUUGAUGCUCAAUGCGAAUUACCACAAAACAUCAAUCAAGAUCAAAUUUUGGUGGCGUCACUUUUACCAUUCUAGAGUUAUGCCCCUUUACAAAUAGAAAAAAUUGUGAUUUUUUUCUUUUCCCUUAUCUAACUUUAGUUUGCCUCAACUAAAUGUUAUGAAACUUAUAAAUCUAGGAAAUUUGUAGAACAUAUUGUUGUUAAUUGACCAUGUUGAUUUGUCAUAAUUUAUCACAUUCACACAUAUUCAUUGCAAAAACAUCUUCUUUUUCAUAAGUGUCUACAGGAGCUUGUGUUUC
rnacentral:lncRNA from 1 species